rnacentral:misc_RNA from 1 species
GUGGGUCAGCAGUACGGUUCUGUGUCCGCGCUCAGCUUCAACAAAGACUGCACCCGACUCCUCUCGGGCUUUGCCAAAGGACAGAUAACAAUGUGGGACUUAACCAAUGGUAAACUUCUGAGGACAAUAACAGAUGCCCACCCCCCGGGCUCAGCUGUCCUUCAUGUCAAGUUCACAGACAGUCCCGUGUUAGCUGUGUGUAGUGACAGUGGAGGGUCGGUGUUUGAACUUGAAAUGAAGAGAUUGAUUGGAGUGCGAACCUGUGAAUCAAAAUGUCUGUUCUCAGGAAGUCGAGGUGAAGUUUGUGUGGUAGAGCCCUUACACAUGAAUCUGACUAUCAAAGAUCAUCCAAUGCAGGAUGUAAUGGUGGUUGCCAUGGCGACACUGUCAAAAGUGUUGGUGGUAACAUUAAGACCUCAACUUAAGGUUGUUUUCACUCAUCCACUAAAAGGCAGUCCCACCUGCCUGCCCCUGCUGGCGUGGCAUUUUGUGGUCAUACAGGUGUCAGAGAGGGACCGGGUCAUUGACCCAGUGCUGGUGUUUGCCCGGGAGUCUACCAUCUACUUCUUCCAGGUGAUAUGUAACAAUGCCCAAGAUAUAAAGUGUUCCGGUCUCCAGAAAAUCACAGUCCCGUACAAAAUGUUGAACGUAGCUUGGAUGAAUCCCCGAGUCCUUGUUACCAUGGAUACCAAUGAAAAACUUCAUGUCAUAGAUGUCAGAUCUGAAGAAGAACUUGAGGUUUUGGAUGUUUCCUCGGUACAGCUGGUGUACAAUAACAGUCAUUUCAAGUCUCUGGCUACAGGGGGAAAUGUCAGCCAGGCACUGGUAUGUGUGAAAGUGAAAGUAUCAAAACACAUUAGCUAGAUAUUAGUAGUUCAGUUUAUAAAAAACAGAAAAUGAAAGUUUCAAGGAUAAAACAGGGAAAGUGUCAAAACUCUAAAUCGGAGAUGUUGAAAAUCAUCGGAAAGUGAAUUUGCAUUUGAUUAUGGCAGACUAGAGAGUUUAUGCUCUUGGUAUUUAUCGGAUUUCAUAGGCUGAGAGUGAACAAGACUU